GGGUUGUGAGGUUAAGCGACCAAGCGUACACGGUGGAUGCCCUGGCAGUCAGAGGCGAUGAAGGACGUGCUAAUCUGCGAAAAGCGCCGGUAAGGUGAUAUGAACCGUUAUAACCGGCGAUGUCCGAAUGGGGAAACCCAGUGUGACUCGUCACACUAUCAUUAACUGAAUCCAUAGGUUAAUGAGGCGAACCGGGGGAACUGAAACAUCUAAGUACCCCGAGGAAAAGAAAUCAACCGAGAUUCCCCCAGUAGCGGCGAGCGAACGGGGAGGAGCCCAGAGCCUGAAUCAGCAUGUGUGUUAGUGGAAGCGUCUGGAAAGGCGCGCGAUACAGGGUGAGAGCCCCGUACACAAAAGCGCAUAUGCUGUGAGCUCGAUGAGUAGGGCGGGACACGUGGUAUCCUGUCUGAAUAUGGGGGGACCAUCCUCCAAGGCUAAAUACUCCUGACUGACCGAUAGUGAACCAGUACCGUGAGGGAAAGGCGAAAAGAACCCCGGCGAGGGGAGUGAAACAGAACCUGAAACCGUGUACGUACAAGCAGUGGGAGCCUCUCUUUAUGGGGGGUGACUGCGUACCUUUUGUAUAAUGGGUCAGCGACUUAUAUUCUGUAGCAAGGUUAACCGCAUAGGGGAGCCGAAGGGAAACCGAGUCUUAAUUGGGCGUUAAGUUGCAGGGUAUAGACCCGAAACCCGGUGAUCUAGCCAUGGGCAGGUUGAAGGUUGGGUAACACUAACUGGAGGACCGAACCGACUAAUGUUGAAAAAUUAGCGGAUGACCUGUGGCUGGGGGUGAAAGGCCAAUCAAACCGGGAGAUAGCUGGUUCUCCCCGAAAGCUAUUUAGGUAGCGCCUCGUGAAUUCAUCUCCGGGGGUAGAGCACUGUUUCGGCUAGGGGGCCAUCCCGGCUUACCAACCCGAUGCAAACUGCGAAUACCGGAGAAUGUUAUCACGGGAGACACACGGCGGGUGCUAACGUCCGUCGUGAAGAGGGAAACAACCCAGACCGCCAGCUAAGGUCCCAAAGUCAUGGUUAAGUGGGAAACGAUGUGGGAAGGCCCAGACAGCCAGGAUGUUGGCUUAGAAGCAGCCAUCAUUUAAAGAAAGCGUAAUAGCUCACUGGUCGAGUCGGCCUGCGCGGAAGAUGUAACGGGGCUAAACCAUGCACCGAAGCUGCGGCAGCGACACUUUAGUGUUGUUGGGUAGGGGAGCGUUCUGUAAGCCGUUGAAGGUGUGUCGUGAGGCAUGCUGGAGGUAUCAGAAGUGCGAAUGCUGACAUAAGUAACGAUAAAGCGGGUGAAAAGCCCGCUCGCCGGAAGACCAAGGGUUCCUGUCCAACGUUAAUCGGGGCAGGGUGAGUCGACCCCUAAGGCGAGGCCGAAAGGCGUAGUCGAUGGGAAACGGGUUAAUAUUCCCGUACUUGGUGUUACUGCGAAGGGGGGACGGAGAAGGCUAUGUUGGCCGGGCGACGGU
rnacentral:rRNA from 1 species